rnacentral:rRNA from 1 species
GACGGGGGGGGCAAGUGUUCUUCGGAAUGACUGGGCGUCAAGGGCACGUAGGCGGUGAAUCGGGUUGAAAGUGAAAGUCGCCAAAAAGUGGCGGAAUGCUCUCGAAACCAAUUCACUUGAGUGGGACAGAGGAGAGUGGAAUUUCGUGUGUAGGGGUGAAAUCCGUAGAUCUACGAAGGAAGGCCAAAAGCGAAGGCAGCUCUCUGGGUCCCUACCGACGCUGGGGUGCGAAAGCAUGGGGAGCGGAACAGG